UACGAAGGGGGGCUAGCGUUGUUCGGAAUUACUGGGCGUAAAGCGCGUGUAGGCGGCCGUGCAAGUCGGGUGUGAAAGCCCUCGGCUCAACCGAGGAAGUGCGCCCGAAACUGCAUGGCUUGAGUACCGGAGAGGAUGGCGGAAUUCCCCAAGUAGCGGUGAAAUGCUUAGAUAUGACAUAGAACACCGAUAGCGAAGGCAGCUUACUACAUGAAGAUUGACGCUGAGGCACGAAGGCGUGGGGAGCAAACAGG
rnacentral:rRNA from 1 species